rnacentral:rRNA from 1 species
GUGAGGAAUUUUCCGCAAUGGGCGAAAGCCUGACGGAGCGACGCCGUGUGUGCGAUGAAGUCCUUCGGGAUGUAAAGCACUGUCAGAGGGGACGAUAAUGACGGUACCCUCAGAGGAAGGCCCGGCUAACUACGUGCCAGCAGCCGCGGUAAUACGUAGGGGCCAAGCGUUGUCCGGAAUCAUUGGGCGUAAAGGGCGUGUAGGCGGUCUGAUAAGUCAGAUGUUAAAUCUACGAGCUCAACUCGUAGCCGCAUCUGAUACUGUCAGGCUAGAGAAUGGUAGAGGAAAGCGGAACUUCCGGUGUAGCGGUGAAAUGCGUAGAUAUCGGAAGGAACACCAGUGGCGAAGGCGGCUUUCUGGGCCAUUUCUGACGCUGAGACGCGAAAGCUAGGGGAGCGAACGGGAUUAGAUACCCCGGUAGUCCUAGCCCUAAACGAUGUUCACUAGGUGUUAAAGGUAUCGACCCCUUUAGUGCCGCAGCUAACGCGUUAAGUGAACCGCCUGGGGAUUACGACCGCAAGGUUAAAACUCAAAAGAAUUGACGGGGGCCCGCACAAGCGGUGGAGCAUGUGGUUUAAUUCGAUGCUACGCGAAGAACCUUACCUGGGUUUGACAUCCGCCUAGUAGUGAACCGAAAGGGGAACGAUCCAUAGCAAUAUGGAAGGGCGGACAGGUGCUGCAUGGCUGUCGUCAGUUCGUGUCGUGAGAUGUUGGGUUAAGUCCCACAACGAACGCAACCCCUAUCGCUAGUUGACAGCGUAAAGUCGGUCACUCUAGCGAAACUGCCCCUGAUGAAGGGGAGGAAGGUGGGGAUGAGGUCAAGUCAUCAUGGCCUUUAUGCCCAGGGCGACACACGUGCUACAAUGCGGUGUACAAAGCGAAGCAAGCCCGCGAGGGGGAGCAAAUCGCAAAAAGCACCGCUCAGUUCGGAUUGCAGGCUGCAAUUCGCCUGCAUGAAGCCGGAAUCGCUAGUAACCGCAGAUCAGCGUGCUGCGGUGAAUACGUUCUCGGGCCUUGUACACACCGCCCGUCACACCAUGGAAGCCGGAAACACCCAAAGUCCCUCUUCGGAGGGCCUAAGGUGGUGCCGGUGACUGGGGUGAAGUCGUAACAAGGUAGCCGUACCGGAAGGUGUGGCUGGAUCACCUCCUUUCU